CAGUAGCCGCGGUAAUACGUAGGUCCCGAGCGUUGUCCGGAUUUAUUGGGCGUAAAGGGAGCGCAGGCGGUUUAGUAAGUCUGAAGUUAAAGGCAUUGGCUCAACCAAUGUAUGCUUUGGAAACUGUUAGACUUGAGUGCAGAAGGGGAGAGUGGAAUUCCAUGUGUAGCGGUGAAAUGCGUAGAUAUAUGGAGGAACACCGGUGGCGAAAGCGGCUCUCUGGUCUGUCACUGACGCUGAGGCUCGAAAGCGUGGGUAGCGAACAGGAUUAGAUACCCGCGUAGUCCCUGUCUCUUAUACA
rnacentral:rRNA from 1 species